GCCUAUAUUACUUUUAAACACCAGUUCUUGUACGAUCACCUAAGUUAAGAAAUAUUGAGCCUGGUCAGUACAUAGAUGAUUGACCGCUUGGGAAUACCAGGUGACGUAAG